CUUUAGACAAGGAAAGAAAACUUGCUAUUUAUUUUAUGAGUCCGGCUGGGAUACUAUCGAUAGCACCAAAAACUUUGUGCUACCAAGUUUAAUAUUUUCCAUCGUUAGAUUUAACUCUUUGAUUAUUUUCAUCCACUAGAUUUACUAUUCAACCAAUAACUCAUUCAACAUUAAGGGACUCAUAUCAUCCUAACCGUACAUUUUUUAAUCCAAAAGCCGACAACCUAAUAGCACCAAUAACUUGGUGUUAUUGGUAGUAUUCCAGCUAACUUCUUGUUUUAUUCAUUUUUAAAAAAAUGAAUUUAGUUGAAUAUGUGAAACUCCUAUGCUUCAAACUUGAGGCCUCGGGUAUCAAUCAUCAAAUCUUUUACUUCUUCCACUAGCGACGAUUGAUGAGAAAUAAAAGUUUUGAAGGGGAGACUAGAGAGAGAGAUU
rnacentral:lncRNA from 1 species